rnacentral:rRNA from 1 species
UUCGNNUGGGCGAAGCCUGACGCAGCAACGCCGCGUGAGGGAAGAAGGCCUUCGGGUUGUAAACCUCUUUUUUCAGGGAAGAAUAAUGACGGUACCUGGAGAAUAAGCCUCGGCUAACUACGUGCCAGCAGCCGCGGUAAUACGUAGGAGGCGAGCGUUAUUCGGAUUUACUGGGCGUAAAGAGGGCGUAGGCGGCCUUUCAAGUCGGAUGUGAAAUCUCCUGGCUUAACUGGGAGGGGUCAUCCGAUACUGUUGGGCUCGAGGGCAGCAGGGGAAAGCGGAAUUCCCGGUGUAGUGGUGAAAUGCGUAGAUAUCGGGAGGAACACCAGUGGCGAAGGCGGCUUUCUAGGCUGUUUCUGACGCUGAGGCCUGAAAGUGUGGGGAGCGAACAGGAUUAGAUACCCUGGUAGUCCACACUGUAAACGAUGGACACUAGGUAUAGGGAGUAUCGACCCUCUCUGUGCCGAAGCUAACGCUUUAAGUGUCCCGCCUGGGGACUACGGCCGCAAGGCUAAAACUCAAAAAAAUUGACGGA